rnacentral:misc_RNA from 1 species
CUGAGUUGUCGACACGAGCUGUUGCUGGUCCUCAAACGGGGGCAUGUGCACGCUCUGUUCACACAUCCACUCACACCUGUGCACCCUCUGUAGUUCUAUGGUCUGGGGGACGCACCGUCUUCCUCCCGUGGUCCUACGUCUUUACACACACACACUAUGACAAGGUAUCAUGGAAUGUACAUCGCGUUUAACGCAAUACAAUA